rnacentral:tRNA from 1 species
GCCCUCGUAGCUCAGAUGGAUAGAGCGACGGCCUUCUAAGCCGUAGGUCACAGGUUCGAAUCCUGUCGGGGGUA